rnacentral:misc_RNA from 1 species
UGGUUCUGGCAUCGAUGAAGAACGCAGCGAAAUGCGAUACGUAAUGUGAAUUGCAGACUUCAGUGAAUCAUCGAAUCUUUGAACGCACAUUGCGCCCCUCGGCAUUCCGGGGGGCAUGCCUGUCCGAGCGUCAUUACAACCAUCAGGCACUGCUUGGACAUGGGCCUUCGUCCGCCCCACGGGGCGGGCGUGCCCCAAAACCGUCGGCAGAGUCAGCGCACCCGCCGGGCGUAGCAGAAUGCGGGAAAGGCGUCAGCCGGACCCACACACGUCCAGCGGCCGCGGGCUCGAGCCGUAAAUCACCCAGAGGUGACCGGGCGUGGGACCCAGAAGGGCCCCCCGCGUCGGCCCUCGGGACUCUUCAGGUUGACUUCGGAUCAGGUAGGGAUACCCGCUGA